UACGUAGGGUGCGAGCGUUAAUCGGAAUUACUGGGCGUAAAGCGUGCGCAGGCGGUUGUGCAAGACCGAUGUGAAAUCCCCGGGCUUAACCUGGGAAUGGCAUUGGUGACUGCACGGCUAGAGUGUGUCAGAGGGGGGUAGAAUUCCACGUGUGAGCAGUGAAAUGCGUAGAGAUGUGGAGGAAUACCGAUGGCGAAGGCAGCCCCCUGGGAUAACACUGACGCUCAUGCACGACAGCAUGGGGAGCGAACGGG
rnacentral:rRNA from 1 species